rnacentral:rRNA from 1 species
UACGUAGGGGGCAAGCGUUGUCCGGAAUCAUUGGGCGUAAAGCGCGCGUAGGCGGCCCGGUAAGUCCGUUUGUGAAAGUCAAAGGCUCAACCUUUGAACGCCGAUGGAUACUGCCGGGCUAGAGUCCGGAAGAGGCGAAGUGGAAUUCCUGGUGUAGCGGUGGAAUGCGCAGAUAUCAGGAGGAACACCAAUAGCGAAGGCAGCUCGCUGGGACGGUACUGACGCUGAGGCGCGAAAGCGUGGGGAGCGAACAGG